rnacentral:rRNA from 1 species
AAUCAACGCUGGCGGCGUGCCUAACACAUGCAAGUCGAACGCGAAAGCCCCGCAAGGGGCGAGUAGAGUGGCAAACGGGUGAGUAACGCGUGGGUGACCUGCCUUCGAGUGGGGGAUAACGUCUCGAAAGGGACGCUAAUACCGCAUGACAUCUUGCCUUUGAAGAGGUGAUGAUCAAAGCCGGGGUCGCGAGACCUGGCGCUUGAAGAGGGGCCCGCGUCCGAUUAGCUAGUUGGUGAGGUAACGGCCCACCAAGGCGACGAUCGGUAUCCGGCCUAAGAGGGCGGACGGACACACUGGGACUGAGACACGGCCCAGACUCCUACGGGAGGCAGCAGUGGGGAAUUGUUCGCAAUGGGCGCAAGCCUGACGACGCAACGCCGCGUGGAGGAUGAAGAUCUUCGGGUCGCAAACUCCUGUCGAGCGGGACGAAAGAUCCGCGACCG